rnacentral:rRNA from 1 species
GACGAACGCUGGCGGCGUGCUUAACACAUGCAAGUCGAACGGAAAGGCCCUGCUUUUGUGGGGUGCUCGAGUGGCGAACGGGUGAGUAACACGUGAGUAACCUGCCCUUGACUUUGGGAUAACUUCAGGAAACUGGGGCUAAUACCGGAUAGGAGCUCCUGCUGCAUGGUGGGGGUUGGAAAGUUUCGGCGGUUGGGGAUGGACUCGCGGCUUAUCAGCUUGUUGGUGGGGGAGUGGCUUACCAAGGCUUUGACGGGUAGCCGGCCUGAGAGGGUGACCGGCCACAUUGGGACUGAGAUACCGCGCCGACUCCUACGGGAGGCAGCAGUGGGGCAUAUUGCACAAUGGGCGGAAGCCUGAUGCAGCACCGCCGCGUGCGGGAUGACGGCCUUCGGGUUGUAAACCGCUUUCGCCUGUGACGAAGCGUGCGUGACGGUAAUGGGUAAAGAAGCACCGGCUAACUACGUG